GACGAACGCUGGCGGCGUGCCUAAUACAUGCAAGUUGAGCGCUGAAGGUUGGUACUUGUACCGACUGGAUGAGCAGCGAACGGGUGAGUAACGCGUGGGGAAUCUGCCUUUGAGCGGGGGACAACAUUUGGAAACGAAUGCUAAUACCGCAUAAAAACUUUAAACACAAGUUUUAAGUUUGAAAGAUGCAAUUGCAUCACUCAAAGAUGAUCCCGCGUUGUAUUAGCUAGUUGGUGAGGUAAAGGCUCACCAAGGCGAUGAUACAUAGCCGACCUGAGAGGGUGAUCGGCCACAUUGGGACUGAGACACGGCCCAAACUCCUACGGGAGGCAGCAGUAGGGAAUCUUCGGCAAUGGACGAAAGUCUGACCGAGCAACGCCGCGUGAGUGAAGAAGGGUUUCGGAUCGUAAAAAUCUGUUGGUAGAGAAGAACGUUGGUGAGAGUGGAAAGCUCAUCAAGUGACGGUAACUACCCAGAAAGGGACGGCUAACUACGUG
rnacentral:rRNA from 1 species